AUUGAACGCUGGCGGCAUGCCUUACACAUGCAAGUCGAACGGUAACGCGGGGCAACCUGGCGACGAGUGGCGAACGGGUGAGUAAUGUAUCGGAACGUGCCCAGUUGUGGGGGAUAACUGCUCGAAAGAGCAGCUAAUACCGCAUACGACCUGAGGGUGAAAGCGGGGGAUCGCAAGACCUCGCGCAAUUGGAGCGGCCGAUAUCAGAUUAGGUAGUUGGUGGGGUAAAGGCUCACCAAGCCAACGAUCUGUAGCUGGUCUGAGAGGACGACCAGCCACACUGGGACUGAGACACGGCCCAGACUCCUACGGGAGGCAGCAGUGGGGAAUUUUGGACAAUGGGGGCAACCCUGAUCCAGCAAUGCCGCGUGUGUGAAGAAGGCCUUCGGGUUGUAAAGCACUUUUGGCGGGAAAGAAACGGCGCUUGCUAAUACCAGGCGCUAAUGACGGUACCCGCAGAGUAAGCACCGGCUAACUACGUGCCAGCAGCCGCAGUAACAC
rnacentral:rRNA from 1 species